UACGGAGGGAGCUAGCGUUAUUCGGAAUUACUGGGCGUAAAGCGUACGUAGGCGGCUUUGUAAGUAAGAGGUGAAAGCCCGGAGCUCAACUCCGGAACUGCCUUUUAGACUGCAUCGCUUGAAUCCAGGAGAGGUGAGUGGAAUUCCGAAUGUAGAGGUGAAAUUCGUAGAUAUUCGGAAGAACACCAGUGGCGAAGGCGGCUCACUGGACUGGUAUUGACGCUGAGGUACGAAAGCGUGGGGAGCAAACAGG
rnacentral:rRNA from 1 species